rnacentral:tRNA from 1 species
AGCCCCGUCGUAUAGCGGCCAAGUAUAUCUGGCUCUGGACCAGAUGACCCAGGUUCGAAUCCUGGCGGGGCUA